GCGUGGGGGAACUGCCGCGGCGCGUCAAGGGCACCAACGUCGAGUUCGAACGCCGGAGCACCCGCAACCGGGCCGGCGCCGGCGAGUACAUCGCGGUGAAUCCGACCCCGAGCCGCCGACUCCCACCGCCCCACGCGCGCCGCCGCGUCCACUUCUCCCGCGAUGCGGUCGCAUCCCCAAUGGUCAGGCAGGAGCUCCGCCCCGCAUCGCCUCCCGCCGGCCCAGUCGUUGCUUCACGCUCGCCCGGCUCGACAUCGCCCCACCUACUGUGAAGUACUGUCCUUUUUAUUUUCUGAUGAAGGAUCAUAUCAUAUGCAAGGUUUUAAAUAUGCUAUAGUUUUUAGAAAGGGCGGUCGCUAUGUCAUUUAGCUCGCUAAAACCGGCUAUAGCCCGUUAAAUGUCGGCUAUAGUCCGCUAAACGCCGUAACGGCAGCCCUGCCGCUAAACGUCUUAGCCGGCGAUUUAAAAUAUUGGUCAUAUGAAAUCUGCUAUCGUGCGCACGUUCUUUGUUUAUCUGAUCCACGGCACUACACUAUUAAUUGUUUCAGACAUUGCGCCGCCAUACUGGAUGUUUGUUCAGUGGGUUUCCUUUGUGGCACAACAUAUCGCGCGAUUUCCUCUGACAUAUCGAAAGAAUUCUGAAUAGUAUUGCUCACUCACUGCCCACCUUGUAGGUCCUCCCAUUGGAUUAUCUUAGGGAGAGUAUUAAUUACUCGCCAAUGUCAUGCCCUUGCACUUUUCUAAUUUCUGAACCUGUCUUCAUUGGCCUCUUCGAAUCAGGAAGGGUCAACGUCAGAGCCUGAUAUUGCCAUUCCUAAAAGUUCCAGUUCAGAGCUUGGAAGAGGUAAUCAAUCAAUACAAUCAGUUUCUACUGCUACCCUCUAGAAACUACUACUUUCCAGGGAUAUAUUCUGGUGAAAUAAAGCCUGUUGCAGAGGACAUCAGAUAAUCAGUGUGCCUGUCUGACAGAGCAUCAAGCAGAUGGGCAUCAGUAGCGUGCCCAGCAGCAUACUAGAUCUGGAAGAUGAGACAAGUAAUUAGCCAACAAAAGGUUCUCGUCACUGGACGGCCACUCAUUGAUGGAGUACGACACUGAUCGGGUGGGUCCCGGUCAUCUGAAAGCAAAGGCUUGAAAAUGCCAUCUGACGAGUGUCUAGGGUUUCUGAUGAGGCAUCGACAGAAUCACAGGGUUUACUGGCAGUCGUUUCUCUCUCUCUUUCAUGAACUCAUGAGGACUAGCCACUGAAUUCAUCGGUGCUUGAGGAUUUUUGCCAUAUGGUGCACACUGACCUAUGGGUCCUAGUGCCGCAUGACGAUGAAGCACGGGUCGCGGCAAAUCCUGAAACGACACCGAAUGAUAGAGUAGCAGAUCAUCAAGAUCUCCUUUGUGAAGGCAAGAACAGGGCACGCAAGCAUGAACAAUGCGCAUUGAAGAAAAAGUCGCUGGAAACAAGUGUCUGAGCUCGUAGGAUUAGCAAACUGGAAGAAUAUUUCAGAAGUGGGGUUACUGGAUGGAUCUGAGCCGCUUGGCUCCAAAUUGGAGUGGACUUGGGGACCAAGUGGAGGAGGCGCGACUGAUGAACUUGCGCUGCAGAAGUAUCUUCUGAAACUUUAGGUUGUGCGUCAUGACUAUGAGGUUCAGCCAUUUCUCAUGCAGUUGUGUAAGAUUCUUUGGUUUGUCUGUUUUCUUUCUUAUUAGCAUCUAAGUUAGGUGAAGGAAAUAUUGCUAAAUAUCUCAAAUGCAAUUAAUCAAUAUAAAUAUUCCUUGCGUAGCAUUUCAAGUUUCAAUCUUCAUUCGUAUGCAAACCAAUGAAAAUUUGCUCACCUUUUUUACUUUAAGAAAACUGCACUUUUGCCUGCUUUUUUACUGCCUUACUUAUCAUCUGUUACCGACGUGAGAGCUUAGCUUGUCCUGUAACUUCUGUAACUGAACUUGUAAUUGUGCACUGAGCCCAGCAGGUUUGAAAUUUAAUCUUAGCUUACAUUCCAAACCAUUUCCAGCUCUCAUCCCAUUGCCCUGUUAAGGCAUCAAUCUCACUGAUGGCAUAUGAUGAUACUAGCUACUCCUACCACAGUUCUAUAACUAUACAUGCAUCCUUGCAUUGCACCUCAAGCAUCCUGCAUGUGCCUCA